rnacentral:tRNA from 1 species
AAUCCGAUAUUCUACAUUCCGUGGAUACCAAGUUGCAAACUUGGAGGUGCUUAGCUCUAAGCUCGGAUUU